ACUGUCUUGGAAUGCCAAACUGAUCGGUGCAAUAAAAGGACAGUUGUCUCUGUUCCCAGGAUAAAACUGCUUAUUCGUGUUCAGGAUUGUACCGGGAUUGUUACUUUGACGUUGUUUGAACGUGAAGUUGUUAAACUCCUAAAUGUUAACGCAAACCAACUUUUGGAUAAUAACAUGGAGUUAGCAAGCGAAGGCAAUUUUCCGAGUGAGCUG